AUGCAGCGCGGGGAGCUCCAUCAACGUGGCUGCGGUUCCGCCGUUCCCGAACGCCGUCGUCCACAUGGUGUGCGGCGGCAGGGUGGUGGCCGGCACAAGGCGGACGAGAGAGGAGCAUUCACCAUGAACAUGGGCACGGUCACGUCGUCGCUGCUCGCCCCUCUGCUCGGCAACCAGUGCAAAGUGGUGGUGGUCACCCCGCUAGCCGCGUGCAACGCGUCCCUGGCCAGCGUCACCGGGACGCUGGCCGCACCGGUGCAGCUCCUGGGUGCUGACAGCGGCAGCGGCGGGGGCGGCCUCGGAGGACUUGGCGGCCUAAUUGGCCUCAUCGGUCAGAUAGUGGGUGGCCUCCUCGGCGGCAUCCUUAACAUCAUCCCCUUGCCCUUCUCCGUCGUCUAG
rnacentral:rRNA from 1 species